rnacentral:rRNA from 1 species
UACAGAGACUGCAAGCGUUAUUCGGAUUCACUGGGCGUAAAGGGUGCGCAGGCGGCCAUGUGUGUGAGGCGUGAAAGCCCGAUGUUUAACAUCGGAAUUGCACCUCAAACUACAUGGCUAGAGCAUUGGAGAGGGUAGCAGAAUUCAUGGUGUAGCAGUGAAAAUGCGUAGAUAUCAUGAGGGAAUACCAGAGGCGAAGGCGGCUACCUGGACAA